rnacentral:tRNA from 1 species
AGGUAUAUAACUCAGCGGUAGAGUGUCACUUUGAUGUGGUGGAAGUCAUCAGUUUGAGCCUGAUUAUCCCUA